AAUAACAUCAACCAUAUUUGCCAUUAUAACAUCUUUUAUCUAUUUCCAUCACAAAUCUUUCUUCUUCUUGAACACACAUGGUCAAGAGUUCAUUGACUGACCAUUAAUCCUUAUGUGUGUUAAAAGAAAUUUAUGAACGGUUGAUAUAGAGAUGGAAGAGUACUCGAAAUAUAAUGCACAAGGAAAUAUUCAGACAUGUUAAUCUCAAGAG
rnacentral:lncRNA from 1 species